ACCUCUGCAAGCAAGCAGCAUAAGGAAAAAAUGUGAACUAGUGACAACUUAGCUCAGUUAUAGCAUCUUUCAUCUAAGGAUCUUAAAACGCUUUGUAAAAAUUAAGUAAUUAAACCUUAACACUAAUGUGAGGUAGGCAAGAGGAUAUAGAGGAAUCACUUCACUGAGCACUGAAAUGUAGCUACCUCUGGGAUGGAGUGCAGCUGCUGCACCAGUGUAUCUAUGUAGGAUAGGAAAUGAAGAGUACUAUAUCCAAUUGGAGUUGUAGAGGAGUUUAUGGAGGCUGAACUUAAUUGUCAGAGUUGGUGUUUACUCAGAACACCUGGGUUACCACCCUUACUUUUGUGACACGUGCGAUGAACACAAGAGUUAUAUUUUAUAUUUCAUCUAAAAGAAUGGCAGCUUCAACUACACAGGCUCCACUACCACCUCUUUCAGAGGGAAGAGUGUCAUCUACUGAAUCAUCACCAUCCCCCAAUCAGUUCUUUUAGGUAUUCUUCCAAUAACUGAUUCAUCCCAACCCUGAUUUGCUUGUGAGAUGAUCAUGGCACAAGGUGAUGCAGUAAGGAGGAAUAGCAGUGUGCCCAAAUCUCCCAACCUGCCUUGCAACUGGGAUAACUGAUUAGAAUAUAGAGUCAUCUUUUUCCACAAGGCACAACAUGAACACAGAUGAAUUCGCACAUGUUGGUGGAAACAUUACCUAGAGUUUGGCUUUUCUGAAUUAUUAAUUGCUAUAAUUAUUGCCAAGGGUAGUUACAUGCCAUGCAAGUGUUGGGAUGUGGGAAUCAGUAUGACACUGGGGAAAUCUUGAAAACAAGGAUGAAAGCACAGAGUAUCUAGCCCACCCACCAGCAGGAUACUGGUAAUCAGGUGCAUGGGGGGGGGUGUGUGUGAACCAGCUAAAAACGGGCAUGCAGUUGCUAUAGGGAUAGUCUGAGGAUUUGUUUAUCUGUGUGACAAAAGUAGAAGACAAUUCUGGGAAGGGACAGAAGAAGAAUGAUCCUUAACAGCAAAAAAAUCCUGCUGCAAAAAUGAGCAAGAAGUCUGAGUGAGGGAGUUGGUACCUGCUGGGAGCCUGCCAGUUCGAUGCACCAUGCAGCACACUGCUUCUAGAACUGCACAGGUACACUUGCCACAGGCACAACGCACACUUUACAGCUUCAACUGACUUAGGCAUCAGUUUAACCAAAACUUAAGAAUAAAGCUAUAUACAAGGACUUUUGCAAACUGCUCAUGUUCUGGAGUCUAUAAAGCCACCUACACGUAUCUUCAGAGUGCUGGGCUUUGAAAUAAGCCUUUAAAAUUUUAUUUUCAUAGUUUCAAAAGCCCUCUUAAUAAACACCUAUUAAACUACACAGUAUGAGACUGAGCUAAGGAACAAACACGAUUUAACAUACUGGGUUUGACGAAUUUCUGUUUUCUUUGGGAAUUUUAAAGUGUUCUAAACACAGUGGUAAUUCUCUACUCUGUAUUAUAGAUCUCACUGAAACAUUGUAUUCAAUGCUCAGGACACAGUGUGCCCACCCAAACUCCAUGCCAACCUGGAGGGGAGAACAUAACUAUGGCACUGCGCCUGGGGGCUGGCAAAGCUCUUCAAAUUUCUUCUACGUGCUAGGAUUUGUAAAUCAGAGAUGCAUCAGAACAUCUCUGCCACACACAGAUUUGACAAAAGUGCUGGAGAAUACAUUACAGAGAACCAUUCUGCCCUAGCUGGAGGAUGGACUGGAGGUCAUAAACAGAACUGUUCCAACUCUAACUUCAUACAGGUUGUAUGGAAGAAUGUUAUUUACAAUCGUACACCCAGUCAGUAGGACUCCAAUUAUCAACAUGGAAUAUAGAUGUUCCUCAUAUAGGGAGUUCCACUUGGUGACAACAACGAAUGUGAGAACGAUACUGUGAAGUCCAGAAGGAAAGUUAGGUCUAAAGUAAGGAACAGUAAGAGCUGGACUUCGAGACCUUCAUCAGCCAUGGAGCUAUCCCCCCUCCUGCCAAGGGCUACAUUAGCCUCUGCUGAUCCAAAACCCUGAGAAAGUUCUAAAUGCUAAUUCCCUACAGGGUGCCGUGUUGGAGCCACUUCUAGAAAAGAAGACAGUGUUGCUGACUACAGCCAAGUGCAGCUGUCAGUUUAAUAUUUGGUAAAUCUUCUAUCGGGAUUAUAUCCUGCACUUGUCAAUGGACUGGACUCUAAUCUAAACGGUCGUUUCUAUCUCUAACUUUUAACUCACUACAGUAAAUUUGUAUUCUUCCCCCUCUGACAAACAUCACAGACAUCAACACGUCUGCAACUAGAUAAUCCAUUAUAACUACAAAGUGGAACUUCCAUCUUCUCCUUCACACAUACACAUGCAGCCACUUAAGCACCAAAGAUUACAACCAUGCAGAAUAUUUCCACAACUGUAUGGUAAGUGAAUCCCAGGACAACUGCAUACAGUCAUUUACUAUCCCAGUAUAUUUUAAGUUUAUCCAAGACUAUUUAAGAAGAGAAUAAUCCAGCUGCCUACUUUACAUAGGGCUUUAAUGCUCUAUUUUUUGCCACCACUGUUUGCAUUGUAAAGAUUAUCCACUUCCAAGAUUUGCACUCAUCUGCUCUAUCUGAACCAGCUGUCCACAUUCUUGUUGUAUAAAAGUUUUGGGAUAGCUAAUGCUUAUCUGUAUCAAAAGGAGGAAGUAAUGCUAUGGGAAAAUACAGACUUUAGAACAUUCUCAUCUGAAAGGAACUCCGCAAUAUGGAUCUUCCCUUUCUAUCUAUCUUUUUUAUUUCAGAUUUUUGAAUCAGUAACCUCAGUAUAAAAAUAUCUGACAUUGCUUGGUGAAUGCAUACAAUUAUUGUAUAACAACCCUGAAUCCUGGAAUUUAUUCUCUUCCAUUCCAUCCCAAAGCCUGCUUCGAGCUCAAUACAUUAGGAGAAAAAAAAGCUCUUCACUGGGACAGUUCUUUGAAGUGAACUCAGCCGGUGGGCAUCUUCCAGAACUUCCUUUGAAAAAGGAUUAUAAGCCUCAAUUUCUCCAUUUAGCAUUUUAAAUACACAAUCUCUUAAAAGCCUCAUAUACCCUCCCCCCCAAUGCCACUGACCUAGCUCUGCAGCCUGGAUUCUCUUUCAGGAAGCAAUUCCCAAAGUGACCCUGCCCAUGGUAGCAGCAAGCAAUGCUACCUGCAGGGGCUGCUCCCCAUAGCCAAAGAAAUCUUAGCAUAAGAAAGGAAGGGGCACUGUGGAAAAAAAAACCAUGCGCACCCUAGGCAGCAGGUCCCACUGUUCUUUGUUCUUCAUCUCCUCUUGAACUUCAUGGAUCCGUUUUAGGGACUCCAGACUCUCGUCCAGCAAGAAAGUUGUGUCAUUUAUCAGCAUGUUGAUAUAGCGAACAAACUGCUUCCCAGAGCUGGAAAACAUUGAAAUGCAUUUAUCGCUGCACAGUACCCAGGAGCAUUCAAUCCCCACAACGCAUCUCUCAGCCUGGAGCACUAGCAACAUUCCUUCUUCAUACCACGGUUUGAAUAAUUAAUUCCCCCACUCCACAGGCCAGGUGAAUCAGAGUCCAGAGGCACCCUACAUUCCUCUGUGUUUAGAAUGGCUAUAGUGGAAAGGCCUAAUCAUGUAAGCUGGGACUGAUCAAAAGAGGCCUCUUCCCCUUCCUGACAGUAAUAGCAAAGUAAGAGCAAGAAGAGAGUCCAAACAAGAGUAAAACAGGAGGAGGGAAAAUCCUUUUUCAAUGGAUAAAGCAGCUCUUGUUGGCCAGUGACAGAAAAAUUGUCAAAUAUCUAGGUACUCGCAUGAGAGGCUCAAAUAAACGCCACCAGGGUCUGGAAAUGAAAUCUGGGACAGACCAGCAGGGGGAAUAAAAGGAUGAAACAGAUAAUCCCUGUCUCUGCACAUUUGGACUAUAACACGAUGACAGAUAUUAACAAUUGUGGGGGGAGGGAUAGCUCAGUGGUUUGAGCAUUGGCCUGCUAAACCCAGGAUUGUGAGUUCAAUUCUUGAGGGAUUGAACAUUUAGGGAUUUGGGGAUUGGUCCUGCUUUGAGGAGAGGGUUGGACUAGAUAACCUCCUGAGGUCCCUUUCAACCCUGAUAUUCUAUGAUUUAACUGGAAACAAAAAAACAGUAUGCUCAGAAAAAUACACAGUGGUUCCCAACUGGGAUCACCACUGUGAGCUCAGGAAAACACUCAGAAGAAGCAUAAGGUGGCAACUAACAAAGACUAAAGGAAGCACAUUUUCCACAGUAUCUGUGGCAUAACAUGACCAAGGAAUGGGAAGAGUGCAGAAGAUGUGCCCUCCAACACAACAGAGAAGCAAGCAGUAUGCACAGCAGCAUAGGGAGGCACAUUUGAAAAUAAAUACUGGGGGGAGUUUUCUUCUUGCAGCUCUGGGUCUUGUACAUUUUUUUCAUGUUCUGAAGCUAAAUAUCUUUGAGUAGUCUGGCUCUCCGGCUACAUAUCCUAGUUGGAGGGAUCAGCCUCAGAUCCUUACUCCAGUCGUCUCCACACUUCAGAAAUCCAAGGCGAGUGUCUGAGCAGUUAUCUCUGGCAUUUACAACAUUUUACUCACUUGAACUCUUCCAUGAAGGUGCCGUGAUGAGCUAUGUUCUGCCAAAGGCUUUUGAAAAUGGUGCUGAUAUGGUAGCGGAUUGUAAAUUUGUCAUAGAACUCGCUGGUGGCUCCAGUGUGCUCAACAUCUGAGAAGAAAAUAGAAGACCCCAGUAGUAAAACUAGAACCCCAUCAUCAAAAUUUCCCUCCAGUAUGCUGUGCUGAUUACUAGGUACCCAUGUACCACACUCCCCACCCUCCCAAUCUAACUGAUGAGGUACAACUAAAAGCUGCAAAAAAAUAAAUCACAUCUGUAAAAACAAUGAGGAAUUCUUGUGGCAUCUUAACGACUAACACAUUUAUUUGGGCAUAAGCUUUCGUGGGCUAGAAUCCACUUCAUCAGAUGCCUUGUUGUUUUUGCUGAUGCAGACUAACACAGUUACCACUCUGACAUCUGUAAAACUCCAUCUUGGUCCCCAUUUUAAAGGGGCAUUGCUCACUUUAUUUCUCAGAAUCAACCUUCCUUUCAAAGGAAAGCAAGUCUCAUGAUGCAGCAUCUUUGGAGGAGGAGAAUACCUUACAUACUACUUUUAUUCCAUGUUUAAAAAAAUCUGCAUGGUUUGGGCUCUCCAGUGUGUGAGGUGCUAAAGAUAAAUAAUUAAAGUCAAUAUAGAGACCCAUAAAAAAACUGGAUUACUGAAUACAAAAAAAAUCUGCUACCUCAACAUUAUGUUGAGUAUUUUAAUCACCCUAACCCCCCCAUACCUCUAAAAAUCAGGAAAUUGAGUUGUUUCUACAUCAACUGUAGACCUCUUUCAAAUGUGUAGUAAUCUGAUUUAAGAAUAUCCAUGUCUCUCAGUGUUUAAUAUUUCUGCUCAUCGCCACAGCAUCUGAUCACUAUCCAUGUAAAACCAAUAGCAAUAAUGAAAUCUCUAGCGUGCCUCAUAGGGUAUAUGGUUCUUCUCCCUUUCUGGGGUAUUGCUUUUGGUUUUGAUUUUUUAGAUUUUACUAAUUAACUUGAGUUUUUUGGUUCAGAUUGGUUGAUGUUUUUCAGGGAAAAUAAUAUGGUUAUUAGUGGCUGAAAACAUGCGCCGUGUAAUCAAUAAAUGCUUACUAGAGCGAUAACUUUGAACUGCUUGGAGAUUAUACUAUACACUUAUUCUUCUGUAGUGACCAUCCCAGAGUAAGUGGCACUGUACAAAAGUUAAAGGUCACAUUAACAUAAAACAGAAUACGGCAGAAGGAUGUAGCCAAAUAAUGAAAUUAAGCAAGAAAAAAAGAACUGAAAAAAAGGUGAAGCCAGAAUACUCAAAUGAAUUAAUUUUUGUGCAUUUAAAAUAUCUGCAUAUUGUAUUAGUUUAGGCUUUCUUUGUUUUUAUUUUUAUUUUUUUAGGAAAAGAAAAAUAGCAUUUGUGUGUAGGACUAUAGGAUUCCUUUUCUGCCCUAUUCAAUUAAACGCCUAUAUGUUCUACGACUCUGUGCUCCACAGUGCAGUAAAGCUGGCAGAUCAUGGUAGAUCUGAAGCUGAGAUAGUUGAAAGGCCACCUAGACUCACUGGAUCCCUGGGAUGUAUGUUUGAAAAGCAAAAGGCAGCUAGGAGAGAUGGGACAUCAGAGUGGAUUGAAGGGGACUGAUGACUUCCCAGGGGCAGAGCCCUCAAGGGCUGUCCAAGGUUUAUGUGGCUAUCAGAGUACUUACAAGCUCAUGCACAAAAAAAUUUCAGCUCCAAGCGCCACGUGUUCCCCCCCCCCACCCCCAAAAGAAGCAGCUUUCCUGCCUUGGAAUCAAAGUGCCACUGCAGCACUGCUAGUGUCAGGCUACAAUAAAGCAGCACAAAGAUGGUCAGAAAGCAAUAUGACAAGACAUCAGCUAAAGAUGUUCCAAAGGACUGAUGGAUUUUUUUUAGAGCCUAAGCAGACUGACAGAACCUCUUGCCCUACAAAGCUUUCACCACUCACUGUGUUGAUCAAUACCCUGCAAACACAAUAUCUUACCUGUAUAAAACUUCAUCAGCGAGGGGACUAACAAUUUAGUGGAGAGAGGAUGAUUCUCAAUCAUUUCAAAGAACUUCUGUGUCCGUGGCUGAACAGCUGGGUUUGUCAUGAACAUCACCUCCACCAGCUUUGCUACCAGAUACGGGUUUCGGAUGUAGUUCUGGUUGCACAGCAUCACAACAAGGAACAUCACAAUGUCCUGAGUGCAGGGCUCAUAAAGCACCUGAGGAGAAUAU